rnacentral:rRNA from 1 species
AGCAGCCGCGGUAAUUCCAGCUCCAAUAGCGUAUAUUAAAGUUGUUGCAGUUAAAAAGCUCGUAGUUGAAUUUCGGGGUUCAUCCGUUGGUCGGGCUUUUUGGUCUGUACUGGCGUGAUGGAUUCCUACCUUCUGAAUAACCAGCAUGUCAUUAAUUUGGUGCGCUGGGGAAGCAGGACUGUUACCUUGAAAAAAUUAGAGUGCUUAAGGCAGGCUAUCGCCUGAAUACAUUAGCAUGGAAUAAUGAAAUAGGACGGCAUGGUUCUAUUUUGUUGGUUUCUAGGAUCACCGUAAUGAUUAAUAGGGAUAGUUGGGGGCAUUAGUAUUCAAUUGUCAGAGGUGAAAUUCUUGGAUUUAUUGAAGACUAACUUCUGCGAAAGCAUUUGCCAAGGAUGUUUUCAUUAAUCAAGAACGAAAGUUAGGGGAUCGAAGACGAUCAGAUACCGUCGUAGUCUUAACCAUAAACUAUGCCGACUAGGGAUCGGACGAUGUUAAUUUUUAAUGACUCGUUCGGCG